CCAUUAUUAGUUUUAGAUUUAUCUUCUAGUAUUCGUGUAAUCAGACUUAAAAGGACACAGAAUCUUGUUACCAUUGUUUUGUCAAAGAAACAAGUGAAUUUAUUUUACUACACUAUGCUUUUAUGCUAAGAGUAAUGACACAAUGUCUGUUGCAAAGGAAAAAUGAUGGUAACAGAAAAAACAGGUAGGACAUAUCUGAAAACCAGCCGCAGCUAUUUUUAACAUGGAGAAAUCUCUUGCAUAAACCAGGAUUGUUUGACGUCUUUAAGAAUUUCAUGGUUGCAGCAUUU